ACAACGUGAUGAAAAACGGUUUCUCGUACGAUCACAGAAGUUAAGCAACAUCUAGCCUGGUGAGAACUUAGAUGGGUGACCGCUUGGAAAUACUAGGUGCUGUAAG